AGUGAAAUGAAUUGUAUAACUUGUCAUAUUUCUUUCCAUGACUUUGAACAGGCUAAGAAAAGUGUCGAUAGUGAAUGUUCGGUUUCCAGUCGCAGGCUGAAGUAUCAGCGUUAUCCCAAGAACACCAAUAUUUUGGUCAAAAGCAUACUGGAAGGCUAUAAACCUCCUCCACAGGAAAACCAACGUCUUAUUUCUAACUUGAGCGAGAGGAUGAGGAAACGAAGAACAUUUGCAGAUAAAGAGCUGGAGUGCAUAAUGCUGGAGAGAGAGCUCGGGCAGAGAGAACUGGAGGACCCAGCUGGCAUGCACAGUCCCCAAAGACCAAAAGAAGACUGCUUACCAGUCACAGAAACUAAUGUGGUUAGGACUGGACACAACCAGCCUUGUGACACAUAUUUUAACCAUGAUUUUCUAAAUGUCUGUUUUCCUCUGAUACAUUCAAGCACUACCGUUCUAGAGUACGGGCACUGCCAUUGUCAGACGCAAGGUUUUUUUCCAUUGAAUGUAAUUACUUUUGCAUCAAGCCAGAUCAAAAGCAGCUCUGUGCAGAAAUCUGCCUUGGCUGGGAAUGUUGUGAAAUGGGCAGAAAUGUGCAAAGAAAGGGCCUGUGAAUGGAGGGAACUGACUCAGGCCGGUGUCUUUUCCGCAGAGCAUAGCUCCUUUCAGAGGAAGCUGAGAUCAGAGGCAGAAAAAACGCAAGCACGUUUUGAAAAAGUUAAAGAGCAUUUUGUAUGCAACCGCAAUCAGGACAGUAGAUUGCAAGGUUUUAUUGUACAGAACGUCCACGGCAUAGGGGGAAAGCAGAAUGUGAACCAACCUCUGAAUAAUAAGGAUGGUGUGGCCAAAGAGACCGUCAGAUACUUGGCUAGAAUAUCCCGAGAGUGCUCGUCAGAAACAAAAAUUCAAAAGCAGAGUUUAUCAUUUUCAGUGGAAUCUUUGUUAAAAGGCUAAACCUGUAAAAAUAACCAUUUAGGGCGCAGUCUUUCUGCAUUUUCUGCAGUGACCAAAAUCUCACUCCCUCUGACAAGAGUAGGCUUGAGCACUGAGUGUUUCAGGUAAGAAUUUUUUUUUUUGUUUCAGGGAAGAACUGUGAGUCUGUCUACACAGCAGACCAUGGCAAAGAUGCCGUAUCUAGCUUUAAAUUAACUUGCUUCUGGUACCCACGUUAUCUAGCUGCAACAGGACAGAGCUUUGUGUAAACUUGAAGUCUCUCCUCCUUUAAAGAAGUACUCGGCAAAGUAGAGGAUGAUGAGAAGUAGGGUAAAUCAGCUUGAAUGAAGCUCCCAAUACACUGCCGAUUGUGGGACUGGAUCUGUAACCCUUGUUCCUCUGAGUAGUGCCAAUAAUUUACAGUCUGAUCAUCAUGUUGCCAUUUGAAUUCAAUGAAGAACUUCCAUAGACCUGAAUGGGAAUGGACCUGUACUUUCAGAUGUGAUUCACUUGUGAGUGUCACAGAUGCAGGGUCAAGCUCUCCUUAUUGAAGAUACAUUACAUUCAAAAGACUGCUAUGAGAAUAAUUGAUACUGUAUUGUUUUGGUUAUACCAUAUUUCUAAUGUAAUUUAUGUUGCUUGUUUUUAAAGUAACUGUAGUUUUAAGGUCUUUUUUAAUCCUGUCAAGAAAAGUGUAGUUUUUAUAAUGCACAGUUUUCUAGCUUAUUGAGGAUAUUUUGCUAUUUUUCAGUUUAAUUCCUUGUUAAUCCACAUCGUUAAUUUACAAGGUGUAAUGUAAAUGCAUUGUUUACAUACCGAAAUAAACACUGCCAUUGA